rnacentral:rRNA from 1 species
CAAGGCUUUCCGUAGGUGAACCUGCGGAAGGAUNAUUAUCGAAUA